CUUCUCUAAUUGCUGCUGGAAUUGAGCAUCGCCAGAACACACACAGAAAUACAUUCUCAAACAUAUCUAUGAGUUUUAAACAGGAGUUCAUCCUGGGAUUCAUCCAACUGUCUGCCUUACUGGAUUUGACGGAGUUCAGGAAUGAUGUAACAGAAUAAUACCUAUUUAAAAGCGGACGGUUCUGCUCCGACAAUUUCUGAUACAAGACGGUUCAGCUUCAUUUACAUUCACAUUUACAUUUAGGGGAUUUAGCUGACGCUUCAUGCGUGUGUUGUGAGACAGUUCUGUCCUUUUCUCUAUCGUCUCUGUUUAACAUUGCCCUGGGUAAACACAGAGAGAUUGGCUCAGUCGGGAACACUCUAACUGUGUGGGCAUCGUACUCUUCUAAAUAGCUUCCUACCUAUGGACCUACCCUCCUACCCUCCUAUCUACCUACACACCUGCCUACCAGCCUUUCUACCUACCUACCUAGCUUCAUCCUAUCUACCUACCCUCCUAUCUAUACCCCUCCUAUCUACCUACCCACCUAGCUUCAUCCUAUCUACCUACCCUCCUAUCUAUAGAUAGGAGGGUAGGUGGUAAGGUUGGUAGGAUAGGUAUAGCAAUCCUUCCUACCUAUAGGAUAGGUAUACCUAUCCUACCUACCCUACUAACUACUACCUACCCUCCUAUCUACCUAUCCUCCUACCUACCCUACUACCUACCCUCCUAUCUUUGUACCUACCCUCAUAAAUGCCUACCCUCCUAUCUACCAAACACAUCUAUUUUAAUAUCACACAAGGGUUGUUUUUCUGUGGCUGAUUGAUAUUUUACAUCCUGUUCAUUUAUCGUGGACUGAACUCAGACAAACAACACAGAGACAUAUUUAUGACUCCACUGGACAUGUAAUGAGGUACAACUUUAUACGGAAGCUUCUGGUGGGAGCUAGCUGAGUGUUAAUAGAACCAUCUAUGUGUGAGUCAACCUUGAUUAUUUACCUGAUGGAGAGCAGGUAGAAAAUUAUCCG
ensembl:lncRNA